CUGGGCUGGGCCGGGCCGGGCCGGGCUGGGCGGGCCCGCCCCCGGGCUAUUUAGUGCUCGGCACGGCCAGGCGCGCUCCGCCACCGGCGGGGCUGCACGGCACGGCUCGGCUCGGGACGGCUCAGCUCGGGACGGGACGGGACGGGACGGGAGCGGGCUGCCAGCGCCCUCGAGCGGCACUGGGGCCGAGGAGGGACAGCCCAGCCCUCGGGCAGAGCCGAGCUCUUCCGCCGGGUGCCGGGCAGGGCUGCUGCCGGCUCCGCGCCGGCCGGGCGGGACGGGGCGCGCACCCCUCGCCCUGCGCAGCCGAGGAACGCGGACGCCGGCUCCGAGGGCUGGCAGAAGAGCGGCAGCAGCGGGAGCGGCCGCGGCCGACACUAGACACUAACUCUGGUAAAAGGGGAACUCUACGAUUUUCCUUGAAAAAGAACAACAUUGGAUUCUUCACUGGGUACACUAAGAGUGAGAGAAAAGAGGACAUCUUGAAGGAUCUGAUCCUGAGAAGUCCUCCCUUCUUGAAGUUAAGUGACUUCCUCUGUAAAACAGUAAGUUUCCUUUACAUUUCUAGUGUUUCCUCAGAUUUUAGAGAAGUUUAUUCAUAGAUGAGUCUAUCAGGCGUCACAAGUGACCAGCAUUCUCUAUCAGACAAUGAAGCUUCCUUUAUUCAAACCCAAUUCUUUCUAUCGGAAACCAUAAAACUUCAAACAGCAGAUAGGUUAUCAGGUUAUACAACCUCAACAUCUAAAGGACAAACUCUGUUUUAUAUAUUUGGGUUGGUUUUUUUGGCUAGUACUUCUCCAAUACUGAGUCACUUGGAAAUAGAUCUCAUUUGAGAGACUGGUUGAUAUUAAAAAGUGGUUAACUGUACUUCUGAUGCAGAAAGAUUAAAAUCAGCCAGUUUCACAGUCAGUCAAGGGUUGGAAUAAGAAACACAAGGGGUAAUCCAGGAACUCUAAAAAUGUUUGGCUGUCCCUGUAUGAAAGAUGUCCUGGUUUGGCAAGUUGGUUUACUGUCUUCCAAGAAUAGAACAGAUUCCCAGAAGGUGAGAAGGCACCGCUGUGGCUACUCAGCUUUAAAGGCACA
rnacentral:lncRNA from 1 species